UAAGCUCAAGUGAUGAUGAAUUGCAUAGUUCAAAUGACAAUUUAUCGUGAUUAUAAAUCUUUUAUUAGUCUUUCGCUCCUAUCUGAUGAGCUUU
rfam:Helianthus annuus linkage group 10, whole genome shotgun sequence.